rnacentral:rRNA from 1 species
CCUUCGGGGCGAGCGAGCGGACGGGUUAGUAACGCGUGGGAAUGUACCCAGAUCUACGGAAUAGCCUCGGGAAACUGAGAGUAAUACCGUAUACGCCCUUCGGGGGAAAGAUUUAUCGGAUUUGGAUCAGCCCGCGUUAGAUUAGAUAGUUGGUGGGGUAAUGGCCUACCAAGUCUACGAUCUAUAGCUGGUUUUAGAGGAUGAUCAGCAACACUGGGACUGAGACACGGCCCAGACUCCUACGGGAGGCAGCAGUGGGGAAUCUUAGACAAUGGGCGCAAGCCUGAUCUAGCCAUGCCGCGUGUGUGAUGAAGGCCUUAGGGUCGUAAAGCACUUUCGCCAGAGAUGAUAAUGACAGUAUCUGGUAAAGAAACCCCGGCUAACUCCGUGCCAGCAGCCGCGGUAAUACGGAGGGGGUUAGCGUUGUUCGGAAUUACUGGGCGUAAAGCGCGCGUAGGCGGACUGGAAAGUAUGGGGUGAAAUCCCGGGGCUCAACCCCGGAACUGCCUCAUAAACUAUCAGUCUAGAGUUCGAGAGAGGUGAGUGGAAUUCCGAGUGUAGAGGUGAAAUUCGUAGAUAUUCGGAGGAACACCAGUGGCGAAGGCGGCUCACUGGCUCGAUACUGACGCUGAGGUGCGAAAGUGUGGGGAGCAAACAGGAUUAGAU